rnacentral:tRNA from 1 species
AAUUUAUGGGUGUUCCGCACGGAAAGAUUUGGGCUUUCAGGAAAAUUUUUUUAUAAAUUG